rnacentral:tRNA from 1 species
CGGUCCAUCGCAUAACGGCAGCGCGCGUCGUUCGGGUCGACGAGGCGGAGGUUCGAUUCCUCCUGGACCGACCA